rnacentral:lncRNA from 1 species
AAACAUGCCUUUGAAUUGGAAAGCCAGAACUUUUUUUUUGCAAAAUAAUUCAAAAAGUUUGUUGAACCUUAAACCUUUCCUGAUGACUCUUUCCUUCUGAACUUCACUCGUUAAAAGUUGC